rnacentral:tRNA from 4 species
ACUGAGAGACGAAAGCUAGGGGAGCGAAUGGGAUUAGAUACCCCAGUAGUCCUAGCCGUAAACGAUGGAUAC